rnacentral:rRNA from 1 species
CGGCAGGCCUAACACAUGCAAGUCGAGCGGUAACAUUUCUAGCUUGCUAGAAGAUGACGAGCGGCGGACGGGUGAGUAACGCGUAGAAAUCUACCUAGUAGUGGGGGAUAGCCCAGAGAAAUUUGGAUUAAUACCGCAUACGCCCUGCGGGGGAAAGCGGGGGAGUCUUCGGACCUCGUGCUAUUAGAUGAGUCUGCGUCGGAUUAGCUUGUUGGUGAGGUAAUGGCUCACCAGGGCGACGAUCCGUAGCUGGUCUGAGAGGAUGACCAGCCACACUGGAACUGAGACACGGUCCAGACUCCUACGGGAGGCAGCAGUGGGGAAUAUUGCACAAUGGGCGCAAGCCUGAUGCAGCCAUGCCGCGUGUGUGAAGAAGGCCUUAGGGUUGUAAAGCACUUUCAGCAGUGAGGAAAGGGGUGUCGUUAAUAGCGCCAUCCUGUGACGUUAACUGCAGAAGAAGGACCGGCUAACUCCGUG